AUUGAACGCUGGCGGCAGGCCUAACACAUGCAAGUCGAGCGGAUGAAGGGAGCUUGCUCCUGGAUUCAGCGGCGGACGGGUGAGUAAUGCCUAGGAAUCUGCCUGGUAGUGGGGGAUAACGUCCGGAAACGGGCGCUAAUACCGCAUACGUCCUGAGGGAGAAAGUGGGGGAUCUUCGGACCUCACGCUAUCAGAUGAGCCUAGGUCGGAUUAGCUAGUUGGUGGGGUAAAGGCCUACCAAGGCGACGAUCCGUAACUGGUCUGAGAGGAUGAUCAGUCACACUGGACCUGAGACACGGUCCAGACUCCUACGGGAGGCAGCAGUGGGGAAUAUUGGACAAUGGGCGAAAGCCUGAUCCAGCCAUGCCGCGUGUGUGAAGAAGGUCUUCGGAUUGUAAAGCACUUUAAGUUGGGAGGAAGGGCAGUAAGUUAAGACCUUGCUGUUUUGACGUUACCAACAGAAUAAGCACCGGCUAACUUCGU
rnacentral:rRNA from 1 species